rnacentral:rRNA from 1 species
AAGCGCUUAUGACCAGACUUGUGCCCUGCGGAUCAUCCAGCCUUCUGGCUGGUGCACUUCGCUUGGUUCAGGCCAGCAUCGGUUCCCUGAGGGGGAUAAAAGCUUCAGGGACGUGGCUCCUCCGGGAGCGUUAUAACCUGUUGCAAAAUACCCCUCGGGGGACCGAGGUUCGCGCAUCUGCAAGGAUGCUGGCGUAAUGGUCAUCAGCGA